rnacentral:rRNA from 1 species
UACGAAGGGUGCAAGCGUUACUCGGAAUUACUGGGCGUAAAGCGUGCGUAGGUGGUUUGUUAAGUCUGAUGUGAAAGCCCUGGGCUCAACCUGGGAAUGGCAUUGGAUACUGGCAGUCUAGAGUGCGGUAGAGGGGUGUGGAAUUCCCGGUGUAGCAGUGAAAUGCGUAGAUAUCGGGAGGAACAUCUGUGGCGAAGGCGACACCCUGGACCAGCACUGACACUGAGGCACGAAAGCGUGGGGAGCAAACAGGAUUAGAAACCCCCGUAGUCC